rnacentral:rRNA from 1 species
AUUGAACGCUGGCGGCAGGCCUAACACAUGCAAGUCGAGCGGAUGAAGGGAGCUUGCUCCUGGAUUCAGCGGCGGACGGGUGAGUAAUGCCUAGGAAUCUGCCUGGUAGUGGGGGAUAACGUCCGGAAACGGGCGCUAAUACCGCAUACGUCCUGAGGGAGAAAGUGGGGGAUCUUCGGACCUCUCGCUAUCAGAUGAGCCUAGGUCGGAUUAGCUAGUUGGUGGGGUAAAGGCCUACCAAGGCGACGAUCCGUAACUGGUCUGAGAGGAUGAUCAGUCACACUGGAACUGAGACACGGUCCAGACUCCUACGGGAGGCAGCAGUGGGGAAUAUUGGACAAUGGGCGAAAGCCUGAUCCAGCCAUGCCGCGUGUGUGAAGAAGGUCUUCGGAUUGUAAAGCACUUUAAGUUGGGAGGAAGGGCAGUAAGUUAAUACCUUGCUGUUUUGACGUUACCAGCAGAAUAAACACCGGCUAACUUCGUG